ACUUCGAUCAUCACAUCAUUGUCAUCAACAUCGUCGUCGUUGUCGUCGUCGUCUAUUUUUUUUACGGUUAUUUUAUAUGUGCGACCAACAACAAGCGACAAAUUCUCGAAAUAUAACUAGCAAUAUUUUACAAAAAAUUUUGAAUUCCUAUAGGAAAAUCUAUGUGAAAAUGUCAAAACAUUCAGUGAUGUAUGUGCCGUCGUCGUCGUCGUCGUCUAUAUCUACCAUUUGUUAGCCUCAUUACUGUCGUUAUCGCCAUUCUAUAAUUUCCGCGCUUUUUUUUGUUUUGUUUUGUUUAUUUAUUUAUUCGAUUGUCAUUACCCCAUUCUUGAACAUUAUCAUCAUCAUCAUCAUCAUUGUCGUCAUUUUAUUAUCAAACAUUUUU